CAGCAGCCGCGGUAAUACGGAGGGUGCAAGCGUUGUUCGGAUUCACUGGGUAUAAAGGGUGCGCAGGCGGCCCGAUAAGUCAGGGGUGAAAUAUGACGGCUUAACCGUCAAACUGCCCCUGAAACUGUCAGGCUUGAGUUCGAGAGAGGUAGGUGGAAUUCCAGGUGUAGCGGUGAAAUGCGUAGAUAUCUGGAGGAACUCCGGUGGCGAAGGCGGCCUACUGGCUCGAUACUGACGCUCAGGCACGAAAGCAUGGGGAGCGAACGGGAUUAGAUACCCCGGUAGUCCAUGCCGUAAACGAUGGGUACUAGGUGUUGGAGGAUUCUACCCCUUCAGUGCCGCAGCUAACGCAUUAAGUACCCCACCUGGGGAGUACGAUCGCAAGGUUGAAACUCAAAGGAAUUGACGGGGGCCCGCACAAGCGGUGGAGCAUGUGGUUUAAUUCGAUGCAACGCGAAGAACCUUACCUGGGCUUGACAUGCAGGGGACAGGUGUAGAAAUACAUCCUUCUUCGGACUCCUGUACAGGUGCUGCAUGGCUGUCGUCAGCUCGUGUCGUGAAAUGUUGGGUUAAGUCCCGCAACGAGCGCAACCCUUGUCUUUAGUUGCCAUCAGGUUAUGCUGGGGACUCUAGAGAGACUGCCGGUGACAAACCGGAGGAAGGUGGGGACGACGUCAAGUCAUCAUGGCCCUUACGCCCAGGGCUGCACACGUGCUACAAUGGUCGGUACAAAGGGCUGCAAUACAGCAAUGUGGAGCGAAUCCCAAAAAGCCGAUCUUAGUCCGGAUCGCAGUCUGCAACUCGACUGCGUGAAGUCGGAAUCGCUAGUAAUCGCGAAUCAGCAACGUCGCGGUGAAUACGUUCCCGGGCCUUGUACACACCGCCCGUCACACCAUGGGAGUGGGUUGCACCAGAAGUAGUUAGCUUAACCUUAGGGAGAGCGAUUACCACGGUGUGAUUCAUGACUGGGGUGAAGUCGUAACAAGGUAGCCGUA
rnacentral:rRNA from 1 species